rnacentral:ncRNA from 2 species
UUCGCCAUUGGCGAUGGAGUUCGCCAUAAAAUGUCAUAAACGGACUGAUGACCCCUUUAAUAAU